GACCUUGUAGUACAAUGGAUAGUACAAAAGUUUCCGAAGCUUUUGAUUCAGGUUCGAUUCCUGACAAGGUCGCCA
rnacentral:tRNA from 1 species